UGGACUGGCUCCCUUGUCUACCGGCCCCAUGGAGGAGCUGGAAGAAUCCAUGUGACCUAAAGCGAACAAGGGAGAAGAAGCAGAGCUAUACACUGGCCAUUAGGAAAAUUCUGCGCCUGGGAGCAGGAGAGAACAGAAACCCUCAACUAAGAAUGAAUCAGCGAUCCUUCAUCGUUCAUGCAAUUGGACUUCGAUUUAAAAUCUUAGAUAUAAAAAAUGAUAUAAACGGAGACUGAGGGCAAACUCUAGUGGUGAGGACAAAAUAUCACGUUCUUUAAACAAAUCUAUCCUGCUAAAGGUGUUAAGGUGUUUUACUUACAUUUUCAUGCCAAGAUUUUCUUUUGCUCCGGGUGCAUUCAGUGAGAGAUCAUUGGUAUGAUCUCCUUCUGAUUCGUGCUAUGCUUUGUACUUAAUGCAAUUUUAAAAGGAAGGUUUUAAUUGGUUAUCGAAGCCUAAAAUCCCCUGAGGUUUUUUUUUCCCCAUUUGGUUCUAUUUCAUUUUGUCAAUAUUUGUGUUAAGCAAUCUGCAUCGAUCUCAAUGAGGAGAUGCUAUCCAGCGACCUUUCACAAAUAAAUAACGAUGUGCCACAGAGCA
rnacentral:lncRNA from 1 species